rnacentral:lncRNA from 10 species
UGAUUCAAUGAAAAUGUAUCAUAUAUAACAGAAAGUACAGAGCGGGAGAACAAGGGUGAUAGAUUCAAUAGCUCAACACUAUUUGCAAGGAGACUAGUUCUUUCCAUAUUCAGUAGCUCUCUUUUAGUAAAAAGGGAAACAUGUUUCAGAUCUCUCCAGAUAACUUCUUCUAUUUCACUGGGCAAAAUUGGGUCUCAUGCCUGUGCCUGAACCAGACAUGGCUGGGUAUGGUGGCUCACGCUUGUAAUCCCAGCACUUUUUUUGGGAGGCCGAGGUGGGCAGAUCACUUGAGCUCAGGAGUUUGAGACCAGCCUGGCCAACUCUCGAACUCCUAGGCUCAAGUGAUCUGCCCCCCUCGGCCUCCCAAAGUGCUGGGAUUAUAGGUGUGAGCCACAUCUGGCCCCAGAACAAUUUCUGAUAUAAAAUAAUACAUAUUCUAGAUGGUAGGAAAAAUAAAUUCCUUUCACAAACACUUAAUAAUAACUAUUUUUAUAUAGACAUAAAUCUACUUUUUUAACAUAAUUUAAAUCACAAUUGGAUCCUUUCUAAAAAUUAAGCUUCUUUCAUAUGUGCUUACCGGGAAGAAAAAAAUACAAUUAGGACUGUUCACAGUGGUUAUUAGAAUAUGACCGUUUAUUUUAGGUAGAUGUUUAAAGGAUCCUCAAACUCUGAAGUUUAGGAAAAACUAUGAUUCAUCCUAAGACAUAUUUGAGAAAAAAAUGAAAAACUUCUUAGAUAUGAGAGUAAGAAUCUGUUACUAACAAAUGCCUAAAUAAAUUAAAAUUGAAUUUUUUAAACACUUGAAAAAUAAAAAUUAACUUACCUAUAGGGUAUCCCAAUGCAAAGUCAUUACUUUGUGUAGCAAAAAUAGGGAAUAGUCCAGCUUUGCUAAAUCGACUAUCAGGACUGGCAACCAAUAAGGUUAAUACACAUACAAUGAAAAAUACAGAAGCUUUGGCAAUUAAGAUACUAUAUAGGAAGGACCAGUCCACAUUGGAAAAAUUAAGUACAACCAUGUUUUUGAAUAAUAAAGCUGGAAGUGCAAAUCUGGAGACAAAAUUUCCUAGUCCUUUGGCCUGGGUUGAUGUUAUGACAUUGGCCCUUCCUGCUAUGUAGCCACAAAGGACAAUGCCAAAGCAUUCCAGUAAGGCUGGAAAAAGCCUUGUAAUUGACAUUGAAGGUGGGUCAUUAGUGGAAUUAAAUCCAUGCGUUACUGCUGUAGGCAAAGUCUUGGUCAUAUUGACUGCAAUGGUUAAGUUCUCUGCAGGUAAAUUAGAAUUCAUUUUCUCUCACCCUCCAACUCCAACCAGAUCUCUGGAAAGAAAGGAAGAAAGAUUCAGUAUGGCCAUCAACAAGAAUUCUAGUUGAAAUAAUACACUGGCAAACCUAGAUUUGUUUACUUAUUAAAUGGCCAAAUAAAUAUACAUACCCCUAGAUUUAUUUACUUAUUCAAUGGCCAAAUAAAUAUACAUACCAUCAGGGAAAAUACAAUGGAAAAAAAAGUGGGGGGUUGCUAACAAUAAUCGCUUCACUCUCAAAGGCAGGUCAGCUCAAAAUAUUUAUGUUGCUAAGUUCUAUACUCAGUAUUAGACAUGAGUAAAAUAAGAUCCGCAAAUAUUAGAGCUGCAGUGAUGCCCUGUGGUUCUCUCCAGUGAUUCUCUCCAUCAAUUGAGCUCCGCCUGGUGGAUAAGGGCAUCGGGCACACAUAGUCUCCGCUGAAUGUCCCCAUGCAUCCAAAUUCUCUGGAAAUUUCAGAAGUUCUCAAGGCUACAUUGAGGAGUCACCCAGGGACCAGAGUCCUUUCCAGCCCGUGGUCAUAUUUGAAUAUAGGAUGGGAAGAAGGGUAUAGUAGAGCACUACUAAUCAACUUUAAACCAAUAACUUUUUUUUCUAAAGACAGGGUCUUGCUCUGUCUCCCAGGCUGGAGUGCAGUGGUGCAAUCUCAGCUCAGUGCAACCUCUGUCUCCUGGGUUCAAGCGAUUCGUGUGCCACCACGCCCGGCUAAUUUUUGUAUUUUUGUAGCGACAUGUUGCUUAGGCUGGUUUUGAACUCCUGACCUCAGGUGAUCUGCCUGCCUCAGCAUCCCACAGUGCUGGGAUUACAGGCAUGAGCCACUGUGCCCGACCUGAACGAAUUAACUUUAACUUUUCUGUGUCUCACCUUCUUCACCUGUAAAAUGGCAAUAAUAGUAAUACCUACCACAUGGGAACUUGCGAUUAUUCCACUGAAGUCUUUAUAAUCACAUCUGGAACAGAGUAAUUACUUAACGGAAGUUAAAUAUAACUUUUGGUAGAACAUGAGAGAGAGAAAAAAAUGACGACCUCCCACCAAUAUACCUUUAGCUCCUUCUACACCCGCCACACACACUGGCCCCAGGGACUUUGUGCCACAGGGACU